UACGGGGGAUGCAAGCGUUAUCCGGAAUCAUUGGGCGUAAAGCGCCUGUAGGUUGUUUAAUAAGUCUGUUGUUAAAGACUAGGGCUUAACCCUAGAAAAGCAAUGGAAACUACUAGACUAGAGUAUGGCAGGGGUAGAGGGAAUUUCUAGUGUAGCGGUGAAAUGCGUAGAUAUUAGAAAGAACACCAGUGGCGAAAGCGCUCUACUGGACCAUUACUGACACUCAGAGGCGAAAGCUAGGGUAGCAAAAGGGAUUAGAUACCCUGGUAGUCCACGCCGUAAACGAUGUGUGCUAGAUGUUGGUCACUUUCAGUGUCGCAGCUAACGCACUAAGCACACCGCCUGGGAAGUACGGUCGCAAGAUUA
rnacentral:rRNA from 1 species